UACGUAGGGGGCAAGCGUUAUCCGGAUUUACUGGGUGUAAAGGGAGCGUAGACGGCGAUGCAAGUCUGAAGUGAAAGGCGGGGGCCCAACCCCCGGACUGCUUUGGAAACUGCAUGGCUGGAGUGCAGGAGAGGUAAGUGGAAUUCCUAGUGUAGCGGUGAAAUGCGUAGAUAUUAGGAGGAACACCAGUGGCGAAGGCGGCUUACUGGACUGUAACUGACGUUGAGGCUCGAAAGCGUGGGGAGCAAACAGG
rnacentral:rRNA from 1 species